GGGAGGACGGCCUUGGGGCGGGACCCCGGGUCGGGAGAACGACCUUGGGGCGGGGCGUAAGGCAGGAUGGGGCGGGGUUUGUGGGGGUCUUGGUGGCAAGUGAGGGUCCCGCGCAGGCGCUACGUCCCGGCCUGACUUGCUCCCUGGAACGGUGGCAGCUCCUGGGAACGCAGACCCGGCCCCAGCUGGCCCGCGCCUUCCUCGAGGCCCCGGCCAGCAGCGACACCGACCGCCGCCCUCUGCUGCUGCUGGAGAGGCACCGGGGUGACCUUGGCCCUUUCUUCUUCUGGAAGACCCCCCCGCUUCCCUCGGCUGCCGGACCGGGACUCUGGGCCUCUGCUGGGAACUCACAGUCGACACCAGGAUGCCCAGAGCCAGGACCCACUCCUCAUCUUAUGGGAUCAGAAGAGACCCGCGCGGGCCUGAGUUAGGCCUGGGCUUUCCCGGGUUCCCUGGAUCUCCACCAGCCUGUGCCUUUGAGUGUCAGAGUACGUUUUUUGGCAAAGGACAACUCCUGACGCUCCCUCUCCCUCUUCCAUACACAAAGCAUGCGUUUUCCACAGGUCUGAUGUGCUGUGGACAUCUAAUAGCUAUUACAAAAUGGAGAAUCAUGGGUUUUUGCCCUUGGGCUUUGAGUUUACUAGUGAAAGCAUAGUUCGAAAUGAAUACUUAAAAAGAAAUCCCUCCUUCCACCCUAAGAUCAAUGGAUUUGAAAAGUGCCUGGUUUAUAUGAUCAAAACCACCCCUCUGUAAAUUACAAGCAAUAAGGAAAACAAUUUCACUUUAUUUUGCAGUAACGCAUUCCCACUAAGGCAAUUAAGAAAGUCAUGCACAAUGAAAAACAUGUGAAACCAGCUCCAGCCUGGUUCAAACAUCACCAUGGGAUGGAGUUUGGUGUCUCAUCUUCCAGCUCUUUCCCAGUUCUCUGACCAGGCACUAAGAACAUAAUUUGUGAUCCUUUGAAAUAUCACCAAAGUGGAAAUUAAGAGAUCUGAUGAGGACAUCUGAUUCACCUGGCAGCUGGGUAUCUGCCUCUUUGCCUAUCCAGAGAGCCUAAUUCCCAAGAAGGGGCUGAGAGGGCCUAAGGUAGUCGAGACAUAAUGGGAUUUACCAGGAACACAACAUAGAAGAGAAAAGCCAAGGGAAGUUGGGGGUGGAGUGAGGGCCCUUGAGCUCAGCAAACCUCUUUUCCACUGUAGCCCUUAGUGGUGUUAAUAUUUAAUAUGCAAACUUAAAGGUUUCAUGCUGAUUUUCCUGUGAAUGGCUCUUGACUCCAGACCUAGAUAGCCACAGAGCAAGAUGACAAGCUCGCUAAUAAGCUCUGUUGGGGAGGUCUCAGCCCAGGCCAGAGCUGUGAAGUGAGAAAUAAGUCCAGUUUAAAUAGUGCUGCUGGGAUGGACUUUUGUGGCCAGGGAAGGGGUACCCAGGAGCCAGUGUGGCCACUGACCCAGCCUCAUCAAUGGCCCUAGGAUCCAGAAUGCCACAAACAAUGGAGCAAGAAUCAGAUCUGUGUGUCUGGGCUGGAAUGCAAUGGUGUGAUCUUGGCUCACUGCGACCUCCACCUCCUGGGUUCAAGCGAUUCUCCUGCUUCUGCCUCCCGAGUAGCUGGGAUUACAGACAAAGAAUUCAAGACUAAACUGGGCAUGGUGACACGCACCUGUAGUCUCAGCUACUUGGGAGGCUGAGGCAGGAGAAUCACAUGAACCUGGCAGGCGGAGGUUGCAGUGAGCCGAGAUUGUGCCACUGCACUCCAGCCUGGCCACAGAGCGAGACUCCGUCUCAAAAAAAAAAAAAAAAGAAAAAAAGAAAAAAGAAGAAGUCAAGACUAAGAAGAGUGAAGUAUGAAGUAAUUCACCCACAGACACCCAGCUAGUGAGUGGCAGACCUGGAAGACAAACUAGUUCUGUUUGGCAUCAGAAUCUAUGCUGUCAGCCACCUCACCACAUUCAUGUGACAUCCAACAAAGUGGUGCCUUCACCUGCUACUAAGUCUUGCUAGGGCUAGUUCCAGAGCCAAGACUAUGAAGUGGACAAUGAUCUAUGAAGCGCUAAGUGAACAGAUGUCAUGUAAAUAGCUUGGAUCUCUACGUGCAUGUGUGCAUUGUAUAUGUUUACCAAAGACCUUGUUACAGUGUUUUUAGGCAUGGCUCACUUUAUAAAGGUCAUCACAGUUGGCCAAGCUAUCUGGUAUUUAUUACUCAUUUGAUACUCACACCUGCUCAAUGAUGCUGGUAUCAUUACUCUCCAUAAUGAUUUUCCUAUCAUUUUACAGAUGGGGUUCAGAAAGAUCAGGUGGUAGAUCCAUAGUCACACUCUAGUUAAUUGAUAGGACUGAGAAUUCAAUGCAUGCCCACUGCCUUCUCUUACAAGUCUUGGGGUAUUUGAGUGUAAUUCAAUAAUGACAACCCCUUCACUGUCCAAAAGGGGUGAAUGAAACAUCAAGCUGUCACAAAGGCUAGGUUGGAGGGCAUGGCUUAUAUCCUUGGGUAAGUAGGCUUACUAAACUUAAACCCUAAAGUUGAACUGACUUAACUACCCCGUCCCAGCAGCUGGAGUGGGACAGGACACUGGGUCUAUAUGGAGAGGGGUCUGCCCAGAUUAGCUUUAGGACGUGGAGAAGCAGAGAACUCAUGUUCCUACAAACAGGUUCACUCUCAAGAUAAAGACAAGGAACCAAACUCAGCCUGCCUGCUUCAUUUUUUCAUAUUUGCCAAUCAGAUAAGUCACUUCCGCCCCCAGAGAGAUUUAAUAAAGGAGCAGAGAAAGACUUCUAAUAAAAUUCCCUCCAUAUGGAAGGAAAAGGAGACAUCGGGAGUUACGUUAAUCAUGCUCAUUUCUUAACAGUGCAAAUAUCAAGAGUUAGAAAUUAGAGUUCCUGGCUGGGUGCGGUGCCUCACUCCUGUAAUCCUAGCACUUUGGAAGGCCAAGGCAGGUGGAUUGCCGGAGCUCAGGAGUUCGAGACCAGCCUGGGCAACACGGUGAAACCUUGUCUCUACUAAAAUACAAAAAAAUAGCCAGGCGUGGCAGCGUGCACCUGUAAUCCCAGCUACUCAGGAGGCUAAGGCAGGAGAAUUGCUUGAACAAGGGAGCCAGAGGUUGCAGUGAGCUGAGAUUGCACCACUGCACUCCAGCCUGGGUGACAGAGCGAGACUCUGUCUCCAAAAAAAAAAAACAAAACAGAAAUAAGAGUUCCCACAUGACAGCAAGAAUCACUGAAAAUGCUGGACCCACUGUCAAUGCUGUAUUGUUGCAAAGAAAAUGUUUAUCUUGCCUAACUUUAAAGUCACACAUGCCUGGGAACUUCCAACUAGAACACAGCUGGCAAAGCAGACACCCUCUCCCUGCAGCCUCGUUGAAAAUGACCUCCUUUACAUUUCCUCAUUGAGAAUCUGCCCAGUGAGGACUGUGGCAGAAGAGAGUCAGGGAGAAUUUUCUAGCUGAUUAGGGUUAGAAAAUGAAGACGAGGGCUCUCUUGUAAUCAGCAGGAAGCUAUGAUAGAAAAGAAUGCCUUUUAAAUUUGAAGUGCAAAACUAGAAAAUAGAAAAUUAUUAGGGGGGUUUGAUAUGAAGUUUCGGAAUUCUUUUCAAGACUGUGUGUUUUGAAGUUAAGAUUUUAAAUAAUGUAGGAAGGUACAGUCUAUACUGAUGGGUUCAGGAUAUGCUAACCCAAAAUAUGGCACCUUGGUGUUUGAGAAAAUGGCGGAAGCAGGAAGGUCAUUCUCACCAUCCACCUCCCUUUCCCCCUCCUGAAGCAGGUCUUCUUUGAAAGGCCCCUCCCUGUAACCAGAAGAAAGGAACAUUCUUACCUUUGAAGUCACAGGGUCACAGAGAAGAAUCUGAACAGGACUUACUAAAUUCUUCCAGUUUGUCACCAUUUGCUCAUACCAUCUUUGUCCAGUUAUAUUUCUCCAAAGCUAUCCACUCUUCAUCAAACUUAGCAUAAAAAUUGUAAAACCUUACACAUUUCUUCAGGUCUUCCUUUUCCUUAGGAAGCCUCCCAUGUCACAUGAAACUUAAAUAAAAUAAAUCUGUAUGCUUUUCUCUUGUUAAUCUGUCUUUGCGAGGCCUCAGCCAUGAAUUUAGUGAUAGAUGAAUUUAGUGAUAGAUUCUUCCUCCCCUACAGUGCCUAGAAAUGCAUUAGGUUAAAUGUAAUAAUAAUUGAAAAUUGCCAAAGUGUCCCUGGGUAUUUAUCCCUUUUUAAAAAAAUCAGCUUUAUGGAGGCAUAAUUUACAUUCAAUAAAAUUUACCAAUUUUAAGUGUAUAAUUUAUAAAUUUUGACAAGAGUAUGCGGUCAUGUAAUCACUAAUAAUAAUUAUUGAUUAGAAAAAUAUCAAACUCUUCCUAUAGUGUUUGUGUCUUUUAUAAAGCUUCAUGAGGUUAUUCAGUGUUCUCUAAGACUUACCAGAUUUAACUAAUUUUAUAGAAAAUUCUACUUUUGAUUAAGGAGUGAUUGAAAAC
rnacentral:lncRNA from 1 species